GACGAACGCUGGCGGCGUGCUUAACACAUGCAAGUCGAACGGGAUGAUCUUAAAGCUUGCUUUUAGAGAAUCUAGUGGCAAACGGGUGAGUAACACGUAGACAACCUGCCGACAGGAUGGGGACAACAUUCCGAAAGGAAUGCUAAUACCGAAUGAAGUCAGAGAAGGGCAUCCUUUUCUGAUGAAAGAUGGCCUCUUUUUAUGCUAUCACCUGUUGAUGGGUCUGCGUCUGAUUAGCUAGUUGGUGAGGUAACGGCUCACCAAGGCGACGAUCAGUAGCCGGUCUGAGAGGAUGAACGGCCACAUUGGGACUGAGACACGGCCCAGACUCCUACGGGAGGCAGCAGUGGGGAAUCUUCCGCAAUGGGCGCAAGCCUGACGGAGCAACGCCGCGUGAGUGAAGAAGGUCUUCGGAUCGUAAAGCUCUGUUGACGGGGACGAACGUGCGGAGUGCGAAUAG
rnacentral:rRNA from 1 species